rnacentral:piRNA from 1 species
UUGUGAUCAACUCAGGUCUGCCAGCU